rnacentral:lncRNA from 1 species
CAUACCCCGAGCUGGCGGCUUGAGCCUGUGGUAUCUAGGCUCACCUCACUGCGGUUGGUGGAGGUGAUGGAGGUUGCAGCUUGGCCAGCAUGGUAGAAAGGUGGCAGGAUAUGUAUCUCAAGAGCACUCCACAACAAAGAUUCUGCCUGCAAUCCUCCACUUCAAGGUCUGUUCCAGGAAACCUGUGUAACACAGUUAUGCAUAGAGUGGUCUUAGGAAGCUGACUCUAACAUGAAAAUUUAGAGUUGGAUCUUUUGCUGACAUAUUGAAUAUUCAUAAGAGCAUAUGAUACAUUUGUCUAUCAUAAACAUGUCAUUUCAAAAAACCCUCAAAGUUGCCUUGUAGAACAUAAUUUUAAAACUAGUGUGUAGGAAUAUUUCAUAUCAGUUAUUCAGUCUUCUUAAUAUCUGAACCGAAAUUAAUCUUCCAUUCUGCUUUUAUUUAUAAAUAAUGAUUUAUUGUCAGAUUCAAUAAUUUAUAUUUUCAUUUAUUCUAAGGUAGGAAAUACCAGCAUAAAAAUAAAUUAUUUGAAACAAA